rnacentral:rRNA from 1 species
UAGGGAAUCUUCCACAAUGGGCGAAAGCCUGAUGGAGCAACGCCGCGUGUGUGAUGAAGGCUUUCGGGUCGUAAAGCACUGUUGUAUGGGAAGAACAGCUAGAAUAGGAAAUGAUUUUAGUUUGACGGUAUCUUACCAGAAAGGAACGGCUAAAUACGUACCAG